UACGGGGGGGGCAAGCGUUGGUCGGAAUUACUGGGCGUAAAGGGCGAGUAGGCGGCCUUGUAAGUCAGAUGUGAAAUCCCCCGGCUUAACCUGGGAACUGCGUCUGAUACUGGGAGGCUUGAGUAUGGGAGAGGGAUGUAGAAUUCCAGGUGUAGCGGUGAAAUGCGUAGAUAUCGGGAGGAAUACCGGUGGCGAAGGCGGCAUCCUGGACCAGUACUGACGCUGAAUCGCGAAAGCUAGGGGAGCAAACGGG
rnacentral:rRNA from 1 species